rnacentral:rRNA from 1 species
AUUGAACGCUGGCGGCAGGCUUAACACAUGCAAGUCGAGCGGAGAUGAGGUGCUUGCACCUUAUCUUAGCGGCGGACGGGUGAGUAAUGCUUAGGAAUCUGCCAUUUAGUGGGGGACAACAUUCCGAAAGGAAUGCUAAUACCGCAUACGUCCUACGGGAGAAAGCAGGGGAUCUUCGGACCUUGCGCUAAAUGAUGAGCCUAAGUCGGAUUAGCUAGUUGGUGGGGUAAAGGCCUACCAAGGCGACGAUCUGUAGCGGGUCUGAGAGGAUGAUCCGCCACACUGGGACUGAGACACGGCCCAGACUCCUAAGGGAGGCAGCAGUGGGGAAUAGUGGACCAUGGGCGAAAGACUGAUCCAGCCAUGCCGCGUGUGUGAAGAAGGUCUUCGGAUUGUAAAGCACUUUAAGUUGGGAGGAAGGGCAGUAAGUUAAUACCUUGCUGUUUUGACGUUACCGACAGAAUAGCACCGGCUAACUCUGUGCCAGCCGCCGCAGUAAUAC